rnacentral:rRNA from 1 species
GACAGAGGGGGCAAGCGUUGCUCGGAAUCACUGGGCGUAAAGGGCGCGUAGGCGGGAUGGCAAGUCGGUCGUGAAAGCCUUCGGCUCAACCGAAGAACGUCGGCCGAUACUGCCGUGCUUGAGGGAUGCAGAGGAGACUGGAAUUCCCGGUGUAGCGGUGAAAUGUGUAGAGAUCGGGAGGAACACCGGUGGCGAAGGCGGGUCUCUGGGCAUUUACUGACGUUGAGGCGCGAAAGCGUGGGGAGCAAACGGG